UACGUAGGGGGCUAGCGUUGUCCGGAAUCAUUGGGCGUAAAGCGCGUGUAGGCGGUCCGGUAAGUCCGCUGUGAAAGUCGAGGGCUCAACCCUCGAAUGCCGGUGGAUACUGUCGGGCUUGAGUACGGGAGAGGCGAGUGGAAUUCCUGGUGUAGCAGUGAAAUGCGCAGAUAUCGUAAGGAAGACCAGUGGCGAAGGCGAAUCUCUGGACAGUUACUGACACUGAGGCACGAAGGCCAGGGGAGCAAACGGG
rnacentral:rRNA from 1 species